UACGUAGGAUCCGAGCGUUUGUCCGGAUUUACUGGGUGUAAAGCGUGCGCAGGCGGUUGUGCAAGACCGAUGUGAAAUCCCCCGGGCUUAACCUGGGAAUGGCAUUGGUGACUGCACGGCUAGAGUGUGUCAGAGGGGGGGUAGAAUUCCACGUGUAGCAGUGAAAAUGCGUAGAGAUGUGGAGGAACACCGAUGGCGAAGACAGCCCCCCUGGGUCAAGAUUGACGCUCAUGCACGAAAGCGUGGGGGAGCAAACAGG
rnacentral:rRNA from 1 species